UACGGGGGGGGGCAAGCGUUGUUCGGAAUUACUGGGCGUAAAGGGGCUCGUAGGCGGCCAACUAAGUCCGACGUGAAAUCCCCAGGCUUAACCUGGGAACUGCGUCGGAUACUGGAUGGCUUGAAUUCGGGAGAGGGAUGCAGAAUUCCAGGUGUAGCGGUGAAAUGCGUAGAUAUCUGGAGGAAUACCGGUGGCGAAGGCGGCAUCCUGGACCGACAUUGACGCUGAUGAGCGAAAGCUAGGGGAGCAAACGGG
rnacentral:rRNA from 1 species